rnacentral:rRNA from 1 species
GACGAACGCUGGCGGCGUGCCUAAUACAUGCAAGUCGAACGCACUCUCGUUUAGAUUGAAGGAGCUUGCUCCUGAUUGAUAAACAUUUGAGUGAGUGGCGGACGGGUGAGUAACACGUGGGUAACCUGCCCUAAAGUGGGGGAUAACAUUUGGAAACAGAUGCUAAUACCGCAUAAAACCUAACACCGCAUGGUGUAGGGUUGAAAGAUGGUUUCGGCUAUCACUUUAGGAUGGACCCGCGGUGCAUUAGUUAGUUGGUGAGGUAAAGGCUCACCAAGACCGUGAUGCAUAGCCGACCUGAGAGGGUAAUCGGCCACACUGGGACUGAGACACGGCCCAGACUCCUACGGGAGGCAGCAGUAGGGAAUCUUCCACAAUGGACGAAAGUCUGAUGGAGCAACGCCGCGUGAGUGAGGAAGGUUUUCGGAUCGUAAAACUCUGUUGUUGGAGAAGAAUGUAUCUGAUAGUAACUGAUCAGGUAGUGACGGUAUCCAACCAGAAAG